rnacentral:lncRNA from 1 species
UGAGUUCAUACCCCUAUAUUUUCAUGUUUUCUUAAGUUUUAGGGGGGGGGGGGGGAAUACAAGUUAAAACAACAAGAACACAACUAAACUCUUCCAGCAGCUUUCAUCAGAAAAGUUGGACUCCAUUCACAUACUGUAUUGGGCAACUUAAAAAUUUUAGUUUUCAAAACUAUACUAGGUGCAAAUAGCUCAAGUUCUUAGCUUUAAAAUUACUACUUGCACAUCUCCAUACGAUUUUUCUACAAACUAUGGUGAGUUUUACAAAACUGCUUAUCAUUUCAAUCUGGACCAGUCGGUGAUUAUGGAUUUUUUCACACAAGUUGGAGGUCACUAAAAAUCAUAAUAAAAUUUAUGAAAAUACUAGACUCACUUUCAAAACUCCUAGAAUUUACGAGUUUUGAUUUGGACCUUUGAUAAUUUUUCUAUAAGUUUUCUAAGAACAACAAUAGAAAAUGUUAACAACAGAAAAAUGUUAUCAAUUUCAUUCCACCUUGUAACUUGUUGAGCAAGGUGUAUAUCAUUAUGUGAUCAUAUAUUAUUACAUUAUAUGUCAUUUUGUCUUGGUAAUUAGACAUACAUCAGUACAAAAAUGGUUUUGCUACAUUAGGCAUGCUAAAUGAUAGAUUGUUAUAAACAAUGUUUACAUCCAUUAUACACAAACAUUUGGUAAACUAUGACAAAUAUAGUUAUGAACACUACUACUACCCUUGUUGUGAUAAACUAUAAUAUGUAUUGUUUAUGAUACAUUUACAUAACAAACUCAUUACUAAAGGGUACAUUUAUACAAAAUGGGUUUUCAUUACAUUACACGUAAAUUCGUUAAUGACUUCAGUGAGACAUUCGCUUCACUUCACAAAUAAGUCAUGUAUUGUAACCAGAGUCUCCUGGAGGGAGAGCGUGAUAGUUGUAUAUAGAUAUAUAUUGGUUCCGACAAACCCACACCUUAGCUGCAUGCAACAGCUAGACCGACAUGUCUGGGGUGACAAAUGCCAUAACAUUUCUAAUGCCUGAAGAACAACGUUUCAUGCCAACUAGGUCAUAACAUGGUUAUAAUAACUCACAUUAAGUAUUAACACACAUAGAAUUUACGGGGAUUUCAUUGAAAUCAAACGAGUUUAUGUCGAUUUAAACUUGCAUUGUUUUACUAUAAAUAUGACAAAUUACUUGUACAUCUCGGUCUUUGGGUUUUAAGACUACAUUUACACAUUAAGGAAAAUAUUAGAUUUUCUGAAACGAACACUACUUUUACAAGAAAAGGUUUUCAUAACUACAUACNUUCAUGGUUGUUGAAUAUGAUUGUAAGUUCGAUAUGUAUUUAUUUUCUUAACUACUAAUAUGUUUAAUGUAAUUUUUUUUUUGUCGAAUGUUGGUGAAAAUUUCUAUAUUUGUGUUUCAGAUAUUUGAUUAACAAUAUUCAGUUAUAUAUCAGCUAAAUAUAUUUGCAUUAUUUUCGAAGAGGUAAACUAGGAUUUAUCGAGUUGUAUUCUUGUUGCAAAAGAAAAUACAACAUUUUAACUGAUUAAUAUUUUAUAACAAUUUUACGAUAGCAUAUACUGUAAUUAUUUACAUAUACAUUCUUAAAAACUUUCUGGAUCAUAUAUAUAUAUAUAUAUACAUUCUUAUAUUCUGGUGUCAAAAAAUUAGGGCUAGCAAGAUCAUUGAAUCGGUUGUUGUAGGUUGCAAUGUAAUGAUCCUUCUUGGUGAAGUUCCACAACUCUUGCUCUAGUUUUUUCAUUUCGUCCCUUGGGCAAUAUUCAUCAAUUUAGUCCUCCCCAUGACAUGGCAUUGGCAUUGCUAAUGCCUAGUGUUUUGGCAUAGCUGUUCCACCAUGUUAAGGCUACAUCAGCAAACGUAAAUGCAACAAAUCAAACCUUACAGUUUUUAGCACAAGAGCUUAUUUCAAACACUGAGUCCAUCUUCACGAUCCACCGGGUUAGUCCAACGACUCCUUCAUUUCCGUAAAAAGACUUCGGCUUGCAGUUCAUGAAGUAUAUAGGCUUUAUGGACUCCUCCAUUGUUGACAUUAGAGUUACUUCCACCUCCAUUUCCAUUUCCAUCACCGCUUCUGAAUCCAAUAUUCCUGUUGGCUUCGUAGUUAGCCAGAGCGUUCGCGACAGGUUGAGCAACCAACACUUCAAUAGCCGCGGAGUCCAUUACUUGCGUAUGAUUCGAGUGAGGUGUUGGUGUUGGUUUUCCAGGAUUGCGUUUGGUAACUUGUCUCAUAGGCAUUCUUUAGUUCUAUUAGAGUUAUUGCAAAGAAAAUUUUAGUCAUUUGAAUUUUUUCCCUUAAUCAUACAUAUGUGAGUAAUAAUUACUAUUUCAAUCACAAGAGUUGAUGUAAAUUCGUAGAAAGUCUUUAUGUCGUAAUUUACAAUACACAAAUAGUUCUUUAAUUCAUAAAUAUUGUAAGCAAUACCUAAAUAAGUUUGUUUGAUCAUAUAAGUUUAUCGAAUGUCAGUGUAAGUAUUUCUGAAAUCUUUACCGAUUCCUAAGUUGUUUAUGAUCAAAAGUCAACUUACAAUAUUUAAUAUACACGUUGCUUCAUAUAUAAACAUUUCUUUGUACAUAUACAUUGGUUUUUUUCCAAAAUUUGGUUACAAGAACCACAAAAGUUAGUGUGGUUAGGGGUGGAAAAGUUUGAUAUACUAUCAUACACAAGAUGAUACCCAAAAGUAGGUAGCAAGGUUACUAUAUACCAACUUUUCCCCGUACCCCUAACACAAAAAUAUCUUUGGGCACAACCCGCCCGGAUGAGUCUACCAUAAACCUAGAAAAGUACCUAGUGCAAUAAAUAGGUGGGUGAGUUGUUGAUGUAUAGAUUCGGCUCUCAUCUCAGCUGCAUAAGCUCUGGCCUCUGUUCUAAUCGCCCUAUGAUCCAUAACCUGUGCCAUAAUCUCCAUUCCUGAAAUUUGAGCUUCCUGGGUCAGCAGUUGUAUCUAGAUAGAAUCCAGAUGAUCGAAAAUAAGUUGUAUGGCUUCCUCAUCUAGACUCUGAUCCUCUUCUAAGCUUUCAAUUUUGUUACGAAUACCUAUAGAUUUCCCCUCGAUAAUCCCUAGUUCGUUAGUGAUGAUGCGAAUUUUAUUAACGAGGUGUGCUAUGCGAGAAACUAAGAUGGGUAUAACAGGAUCGGAAGAUGCCUCAUGGGGUGGAGUGGGUUGUCAAGCCCGUGAUGACUCUCCGACCUCGAACUGGGAUGGUAUUUCAUCCUCAUCUCUCUAUUCUCUUAGUUGUGUUACCCAGGAUGGAGUUGGACGUGCCCUUUUUGGGGCUACUGAAGAUGCUGGUGGUGGAGUGAUUCGCUUCCAUUUACGAAUAGGUAUGGAUUUCCGUGGCGUGUAUGACAUGGAAGGACCAUUAUAAGUAUGUCGGUAUAUCCUAAAGGCUGGUAGGGGUGGGGGGCUUGUUUCUUAAUGGCUGGUUCAACCUCCUUGAUUAUCUCUCUUUCUUCCUCGGGCUCCUCAUCCUCCCACUCAGAGUAAUCAACUUCUUCCUCUGUGGGGUCUAUCUCCUCAUCAACCAACGUAGUCUCCACAUCAACAGGAUCAUCAGAAUCUCCACCUGGGUUUGAGGGAUCGUCCUCCUCAUAGGGUUCCUUGUCUGAGGUCAAAGGGGACAAUGAUACUGGAACCUUAGGAAGAGGAAAAUCCUCUGGCUUAGGCGAGUGGGGCACCACCUGAUCCUCCUAUGCCCAUGGUAUCGUCGUCCAAUCUACCGGGUGUGCCAUGAUCCUGCAUAAGACAUAAAACAUGAUAGAUGUUUACGAGUAACAGCGUGAUGAUCUAUAUACAAAUAGUCUUCAAUUCUAAGUAUAUAAUAGAUGUUACUGGUAUUUCCAGUGAAUCCGUACAUAGUAUAUAUCAUAUAUGUGACUCAGAACUAUGUCUCCAAUCCAAACAGUUCUCAAAAAUUUAGAUUGCCAACUAGAGUAUCAAAGUAUAGUCAUGCGUCGGUCGGACCAUAAUAAAACUUAGGCGUGCAAGCUAAGUCUAGUUGUGGUUUGGCCGCUGUACUGUACCAACUUAGAUGACGUAUUUGGCCUAAAUUCUUGAGUUUGUGUUCCUAUGGAUUUUGUUGUAUGUUAUAUAUACAAGGAUAAGUGUUUUCAUCGAGGGUUUGAGUUUAUAAAUAACUGUAUAUCUGAUGUUUGUUUGUGUGUUUUAUUAGUUUUUGUUUGGUACUUCAAGACUAUCAAGUAAGGAUUAGGCAAUCAAGAAAAGUCAGAGGACAGGAUCAUUUCGGUGUAUAGCUUUUUUGAAAUCCAUCAACCAAGGCGAAAAAUCCAUCAUAGACAUAUCUCCCGUAAGUAGUCUAUGCGUAGUGUAAUUAAUACUUUUAUUAAUAUUCUUAAGGGAUAAACUUAAUCGGAGUAGUGAAUCUAAAGCUAUAGUCGUAAUUUCCUAAGAAAAUACUAGUUCGCUAUAGCCAAUAGCUCUGAUACCAAUCUGUCACACCCCCGGACGACGACGGAAAUACCGAGUUGUGCGACAUCAUCAUGGUUCACAAUUAUCGAUUACAUUGAACAAUAUAAAAUUAUAACACAAAUGUUAUUUUUUUAUUACAAAAUAUAUUCCAUAUCGUACUAAGUUUUUAGAAUAUGAGAAACCAAAAAUUACAAGUAGUGCUUAAUCAGAUAAGUACAAUAGCGAUAAAGAGUGCUUUGAGAAUCUCAUGAAUGUUUCCCAAAAAAUUAAAAUGACCGACUCUUAUUUUCCUAAGAAUACAUGUGAUUUUGAAAUGUCAACAUAAAGUUGGUGAGUUCACAUGUUUGUAUAUUUAUAUCAAUGUACUUUUUAUUCAAAAAAAAAAUUAUGGACAUUUUUAUUGUAUAUAAGUAUUUUCAAACUUAUAUUUAUAUGUGUAUUUUAUUUCUAAAAGUACUUGUUUUAUCGAAUAUAAGUAUUUUCAAACUUAUAUUUUUAUAUGCUUUUAGGCGUGUUUAUCAAUGUUACAAGAGUUCCCAUAAUCGAGCUACUGACGAAUUGUUGUCCCUCACGACACUUCAUCGACAUCGUAGUGUUUAGAUAGUUAUCACCCGUGACUUGACUGUCGAUGGUUGUAGCUAGCAACCGCAGGUGGGAAUGUCAACCCGUAUAGAUCUAUGCAUAACUAUCCCGCUCACUUAAGAUUUGACGAUUAUUGGUAGGCGACUUUACUAAAUAUUAUACUUAGGUGAUGAAUGUGUCUCAUGUACACCCUUGAAUGAGUAGCACUAAAAGUUGUAAUCUUUUAACCUUGAAUGUUUAUGUUAUAAAACUCUAAAAGCAUUUUUAUAAUUAUAUCGUUAAAUCAUUUUAAAACUUAAAUAGGCAGAGUAAUAACAAUGUAUAAUAAUUUAUUCAUAAAUUAACGACAAUGUAUAAUAAUUUUUUUUUAUUAUAUGAGUAGAGUAACGGCAAUACAUAAUAUAAUUUUAUAUUAUGUGGACAGAGUUUAUAUUAUGUGGAUAGUGUAAUGACAGUGUUUAAUAAAUUUAUAUAUGUAAACGACUGUUUUAACGGUAAAUUGUUAUAACGAUUAUGUAACUAAAUUAUAUAAGCAAUAUAAAUUAUUUAGUAUUUAUAUAAACAAAUAAUAUAAAACAUGUAUCCUUCCCCAAAGAAUAAUAAAAAGUUUAAAAUGAGGGUGCGAAACUCACCCUUGAAGCGAAAGUUCCCAUGAUUACUCCUAGAUCUUUUUUUAUUUGAAAUUGCCGUCUUACAAACUAUUAUAUUUUUUCUCAAAAUUUUCUUUAAAAUGCUAUCAUAUAAAAUAUGUGAGAUGUGUUUCUAUCUAUACUCAAUUUUAAGAUAUUGAUUGUCUAGUAAUUACUUAGUCAUUUACUACAAAUGACUACGUAGCACAUUAGAACUGUAAACGUAUCAUUUACUUGGCAUCCAUUUUACUCUCAAAUUUGUUAUCUUUACACGUAGAUACUUUCUUAUCCAUCUAAGAUUCCAAAAUAUCCUCUCUAUUUAUCCAUUACUAGGCGAAUCCCCACACGUUACGUGAAAAUAUAAUUAUAUAGUUAAAAUAAUAACUUUUAUCAAAUUUGUAUUUAAUAUUUCUACUUUGAAACAAAAUGCUAGUAGUAAAGCAAACAUAUAGUUAAUAUAUUAGUUUUAUUAAACAUUAUAGUUUAAUUUUUAAGUCAUUGUGAUAUAUACAAUUAUUUGAUAAUUUUAUAAACCGUUUAAAAUUGUGUAAAUUAUAUAUCAAAUUAAUGAUAAUAUAACGGGUAACAAAACGUAUGAACAAAAAUAUGAACUGCAACGUUUAGUAAUAUAAAAAUAGAAAAACAUCUAUUAUAACAUUUGUAUUAAAAAAGCUAUAUAUACAACGAAUAAUAAAAAAUAUGAAAAAUAAAUACUAUAACUUUUAAUAAACAUAAAAACACUAAAACAUCUAUUAUAACAUUUAUAUUAACUCUUCAUAUUUAAAUCACAAAUCUCUUCAAAUACAUUAAUGUUUUUAAUGAGCAAAACUUUAUAACCUUAUAAAAGAAAGGAAAAUAAAAAGUUAUUAGUGAUUACUAAUUAAUAAUCAUAAGUUAAAAAUUCUUGAGUUGUAACUAAUAAAUAUACAUAAAUUAGAAAACUCUUGAGUUGUAGUGUCAGUUUCAAAUGAAUGCGGUACUCAGAAAUGUAUAUNAUCCCUUCAAUUAUUAAACAUAAAGAUAUUUAAUUAUAAAUUUAUAACAUACAUAGGUGCAUAUACAUGUUAAACAAAUCACAUAUAAUAUAUAUAUUUUCGUAAAUGUCAUAUGUAAUUCUUGUCGUAGUAAUAUGGAUAAAUUACUUUCACAUGAAGAACAUAUCAUGAUAAGUGUAUCAUAAUUACAUAUCAAAUGUUAAAAAUUAUGCUAUCUUUUAAAUAUGUUGUGUAGGAUAACCCAACAAAAAACAAUAGAUAAUAAACAUAAUCAAAAUAGAAAAAACUACAAUCAAAUAAAUAAGAGCAUUGGGUGGUUGAAUAUAUAAAUGAAGUUGUUACAUAAACAUACAUUUAAAUCAAAAGAAAAAACUAACAUUCGUCAACUUUACUCAAACAAAAAAACCUAUAUCCAUUUUAUGAAUCUUCUUUCUUCAUUUAACACCAUUCAACCAUAGAAACUUGAUGACAAUUCUUCACUAACCUGCAAUCAAAAUAUUUUUCUUGAAAAAGAAGAAUCAGAAAGAUAUUCCAAGCAAAACAUAUAUGUUUUGAGAGUCACAUUCAAGAUUGAGUAAUACACACAAAUCACAUAUAAAGAUUAAAUGAAAAACUGAAUAUAAAAAAAGAAUGGAAAAGCUUCAUUUAUUUUGGUUGAAAGAAAAAAUCAUAUUACAAUUACUAUCGAUACGACAUAACCCAUUUCUUCAAAUCAUCAUAUUUGGAUCGUGCAUGCUUCAACUAUAUGAAAACUUUUGAAUCACAAUAUCUUCAAAUCUUUCUUACAUGUAAGAUUUUAUAUAACACAAAAGACACAAAAGAUUGGUCUUUUUAUAGUAACUUUUCACUAAAUACUAAUUAAACAUAAUAUAAGUUAUAAAACUUUUGAGUGUUAAAUCAUAAUUAUGAAAACUUUUGAGUUGCAUUAGUUAAAAAAGAGAGUUUCAAAUGAAUGUGGUUUGAGAAAGUUAAAAAAUGAGGUUUUCAAAUGUAUGAGAUUCAAGAAAAAAUGCUAGCUUUAUAAGUAUGUAUGAUGUAUACCUAUAUAUGUAUAUUAAUAAUAAUUAAAUUAAUACAUGACUUCCUUAUAACUUUAAAUGUACAUAUAUUCAUGCUGAAGCAUUUCGUCCUUUAAUAUAUGUGAUACACAUGUAUUUUUGUUUNNNNNNNNNNNNNNNNNNNNNNNNNNNNNNNNNNNNNNNNNNNNNNNNNNNNNNNNNNNNNNNNNNNNNNNNNNNNNAUUUUAUAAUAAAUACAUAAUAGAUCAAACUAAAAAAUCAAUAACUUAUAAAAUAUUUAUUUUUUUUAAACACUUAUUGUAACCGAAAACAAAAAAUUACCAAAUAUAUAAUAGCUGCUGUUUUAAGACAUAUCUGCAAUUAAAUAAUCGAUAACCUUGUAUAAUAUACAUGGUUAUUAUUUAUGCAAAAUUUUGUAUAAUAUACAUGGUUAUUAUUUAUGCAAAAUUUGUGUGACUAAAUUUUUAACUAUUUUGAUAAUUCGAUUUAUAUUUCUUAUAUUUUUAAUAUAAAAUAUUGUAUUUUUAUUACAAAUUAUCAAAUAUUACAAAUAGAGCUUAUUACAUUUGAGGUUCGUCAGAUUGCGAGUGACGACUNAGAUUACGAGUGACAACCAUUGACUUAAUUUGACAGUUGUCACAUUUUCCCUCUGUUAAAAGAAUUUUGUCCCGAAAUUUAUCUAGUGGAUGGAACAUUGUUGAAUAGUUGGGGUACUAGUGGCCUAAUACUCAUUGAAUCUUUCAGCGGAAUGUAUUUUUCAUAUAGCCACUUGUGAUACAAUAUAUUGAGUAUGUCAGGUUGGGAAACCUGGUGAGUACAUAGGGUUUUUAACCGACAAUAAUAUAACUAUUAUGUUUAAUCAUCACAUAAUUAACCCAAUUUCCCAUCCCCAUUAUCUUUCUUAUUCUUAAGAAUCUCUUUUAAGAAUCACAUAUUCUUCAUUCAUUCAUUCCUAAGGAUUUUCCUAAGGAAUAGGCACGAAGUCCAUCGCUGCCAGGGUUUAUCUAACAUGCACUAAGUCCAUAGAUGUCGAUGUUAUCUAUUAGCCACAACUGCCAAUGUUAUCUAUUAGGCACAUCUUCCAUUGUUAUCUAUUAGGAACAACUGUCAAUGUUAUGCAUUAGGCGCAGCUGUUAGGAAUUUUAGAGUACAUCUGAUUAAAACGUAGUUCAAAAACACCUAUAGUUUGCGAGCCUGCUAGCAUUCCAUUGGACUGUCUAGAAUAGUCCAUGGUUGUCAUUUAUACUUUGCUAGAUGACUGGAUCAACUUUAAAGUCAAGGAUUUCGUCCCCUUUCACCUUUCAUCAUCUAUUUCAUCUUUCAUCUCUUAUCAUUCAUAUCAUCUUUCAUCUACCCUUCUUUACCCAAUAUAUUUAUAGGUAUAAAAAUACAUAUACAGUUUAAAUCAAGUAAAACAUGUAUAAAUCGUUCAUCUAGCAUAAAUAUCAAGAACAUAGAUAUUAAGCACAUAUAGCAUGUAUUAUUAUUAAAUACUUCAUAUCUAUGUGUAAGAUGAAAGUAACUAUACAUAACUUGUUAAAGUGACAACUCGAAAUGCAGGCAGCGCUUCGCUUCUAGCAACUGUCUUUUCCUUUGACGUAACCUAGUAUUAUUAUCGCUAAGUUUAUUCUAGUAUCUAUUACGACUAAUUAUUAGUCUAGAUUCAUCAUAAACUCAAAGCCUACUUCAAGAUCUAUCAAGUAAGGAAUAACCAGGUAGGAUCAUAUCGGAGGUAAGGUCUGUUUGGUAUACGAAGCAUACUGUUUGGAAAUCCCACUUUAAACACCUCACUAAAUCAUAGCCUAGACAUCAUCCUCGUAAGUAGAUCAAUCAGUAUAACGACUUGGAAUCACAUAUAAAUAUUUUUUGUAGGUUCAUAAUAACGAUAAAGAACAUAAACAUAAGUUAUACUUAAAGUACGGAAAGCAUAACUCACUUACAAGGUGGUUUUAGCGAGGAACUGGGUUCUGUGCGGGGAGAACUUCUGAGUCGAAAUCUCUUCUUCUUGGGGCCUUCUGGUGCUUCGGGACUCGCUACUAAUACUUAGGAAGCGCUAGGGAAAGGAAAAGAGAGUUUGGGUGUUUGAGAGAGAAGGGUUGAGAAAGGAGUGAGAAAAUAAGUGAUUUGCGCCUUUUACUUAUAGGAUGGAAAUCUCACGAACGCGGGGCGUUCAAGAGCACAACAUGGGGCAUUCACUUGCCACGUGUCACCAUCUUGUUCGAAGCCGUGGGGAAGAAGGUGAGGCUUAGAUCGUGCCACAUGUCACUUGUAGGUUUAGCCCAAAAUUAAUUAUCUUCUAAAAUCCGUAACUUUCGCAUACGAGCUUCUUUUUUUUACAUUCUUUAUAUCAACACGUAGGCAGCGACGUGAUCUACAACUUUCAUUUAGACUCCAUCGGCUAAUUUUGAUUUUAUUUUUAAACUUAUAUUUUAAUAGGCUUAGACAGUUAAAGUCCGUUAAAAAUUCUCAACUUUGUCAUCCUAUGUCUGUUUUCGACUUUCUUUAUGUCAUUGAACUCCUAUUAACAUGAUGUUCAAUUCUCGUUUAGGUUGUAUCGGCUAAAAAUCGAUCGAUCUAAAAUUUGAUUUCCGGACUGUAUACUGCUAUGCAAAAUCUUAGAAAAAUUAUAACUUCUUCAAACGAAGUCAGAUUUAGACGUUCUCUAUAUGCACGCUCUUGGUUUAACGUAUACUAUGAAUUUCUUAGUAAUUUGUCAAGAAUUCACUUUUUACGACACACGGUGUUGUGCCGGUUAAGUCGCAAAAAUUUUGAUGGGUUAUAACUUUUUCAUUAUAAGUCGGAUUCCAGCGUUCUUUAUAUGUAUAGAAUCCUUGUGACAUGUACUAUAACUUUGGUUAAUAUUAUUUAUCCUAAGUUGUCACACCCCCGGCCAACAACGGAAAUGCCGAGAUGUGCGACAUCAUCAUGGUUCACAUUUACCGAUUACAUUGAACAAUAUAAAAUUAUAACACAAAUAUGAGAGUGGACACCCAUUCAAUCGCCAUUUUAUAGGCAAUUUCCUUAUACCCCCUUAUAGACGAGUUUCGUGAAUGAGGCCUACUAACGGUAAGACUGACUUGUCUUAUAUAUAUAUAUAUAUAUAUAAGUAUUAAUCCUUUAAUAUUAUAGUAGUAUAAGGGUUGAAUUUUAACCAUUUAAAACUCUAGGGUUUAGAAUUUAAUGUUUCAUAAAUGAGACUUUUCAAAUUCCAAAACUUAAGGACAAGUUUUGAAAAUCUUCAAAAACUCUUUAAUUAUAGAAUUUAAUGUUUCAUAAAUGAGACUUUUUAAAUUCCAAAACUUGAGGGCAAAUUUUGAAACUCUUCAAAACCUUUUGGAUUCUUAAACUUGAUGGCAAGUUUUGUAACUUUUCAAGACCUUUUGAAUUCCAAAACUUGAUGGCAAGUUUUGUAACUCUUCAAAGCCAUUUAGAUCAAAUUUUAAACAAGUAAAAUAAUCACAUAAUUUUAUCAUUUACCAAUCUGAUCUAAUUCAACUCAUAUAGCAAAAGAACUUAAAUCAAAUAAUAAUCAACUUAUCAUAUAAUCAAAUUAUCUUAAAAUUUGAUAAUUUCAUUCUAAUUGGAUGAGGAUAACCACUACCAUAUCAGAAAAAUUGAAUUUUAUGAUACAAAACAAUUUAUGGCAAUGAUCCUAAUCCAAUUAUGGCCAAAAACUCGAAAAUAUACAAAUAUGGGGUCCUACUCGUCGGGUUCAUGGCAUGGACUCGACGAGUUCAUCUAAUAUGAUCCAACUCGUCGAGUUCCCAUAUGGGACUCGAUGAGUCCAACAGUCAGUGGCCAAAAAUGACAUUUUUUUAGUUUUGAAAAUCAAACAGUUGCAUCCAUAUAACAAAAAACACCCUAGGCUCUUAUACCACUGAUGGGUUUUGAGCACUAUAACAUCCUUAUGGUGCACAUACAACCCUAAUGCUCUGGAUCUAAUUUUUCUCGAGUUAUACAUGCAAUUUUCUUUUUCCAAAGUGUGAAGCCUAACUAGCAUACAACUUUGAUAAUUAAAACAUAAAAACAAGUAAGAUGAUUACCUCUUUGUUGUAGCUUGAAGAACUUGGCCUUAUAAGAGCUUAACACCUCAAAUGUGAUGCCUGAAGUAAGUCACAAAACACCAAGAACAAAUGGAGGAUUAUGAGAGAGAGCUUGGAGGCACCAAAAUGGGCUAGCUUCUUCUUAGAAUACACUUGUAUCCGAUUUUAAGGCUUAGGGAGUUACAUUUAUAGUGUAGAAUUCCAAGGGUAACUUGUAAACCUUAAUCCAUUCACUUAGGCUUUUGAUUCAAUUAUUCAUUUGGACUAACACUUCGAGGACUCUCACAUAAGCUUAAUCCAUCACUAAUCAAUCAUGGAUCAUCAGCCCAAGCUAUAUGUAUCACUGAUUUACAUAAUCAACCCCUGUUAAUUUAAUCAGUCGCUUUUGAUCACUAAAUUAAUUCCAAAUUAAUUACUGAUCAAUACCAAUUAAAUAAUAUGAUUUCUCAAUUAAUAUAUAAUUGUUAUAAUAUAUUAAUAAAUCAAAAAUAACCUCUUUCUCAAAUAUCCUUCCUAUCAAAUGGCUCCGGUGAAUGGUUGAAUUCAACCCAAAUAGACCACGCUACUAUUGGGUCAAGUACAUACCAAUUAUAGUUAUGAGCAUAAACACCUAAUCCAACAAUAUAUUCAUGCAGAAGCAUUUCGUCNUUAGAUCAAACUAAUAAAUCAACAAAUUAUAAAAUAUUUAUUUUUUUUUAAAUUGUUAUUGUAACCAAAUACGAAAAAUUACCAAAUAUAUAAUAAGUGCUAUUUGAAGACAUAUCUGCAAUUAAAUAAUCGAUAACCAAUCUUGUAUAAUAUACAUGGUUAUUAUUUAUGCAAAAUUUGUGCGGCUAAAUUUUUAACUAUUUUGAUAAUUCGAUUUAUAGUUCUUAUAUUUUUAAUAUAAAAUAUUGUAUUUUUAUUACAAAUUGUCAAAUAUUACAAAUCGAGCCUAUUACAUUUGAUGUUCGUCAGAUUGCGAGUGACGACCGUUGACUUAAUUUGACUGUUGUCAAAUUCUCUCUCCCUACCAGGUAAAAUGAAUUUUGUCCCAAAAUUUAUCUAGUGGANAAGCAUAACGAAAUAUCACAAGCCUUACAGUAAUUAAACUAAUGGCAUAAUACUCCUUGAAUCUCUCAGCAGAAUGUAUCUUUCAUAUAGCCACCUAUGAUACAAUAAAAUGAGUUGGUCAGGUUGGGAAACCUUGUGAGUACAUAGGGUUUUCAACCCACAAUAAUAUAAUUAUUAUGUUUAAUCAUAAAACAAUUAACCCAAGGAUGCAUUUAUUCUUCAUUCAUUCAUUCCUAAGGAUUUUCCUAAGGAAUAGGAACAAAGUCCAUCGUUGCCAGGGUUUAUCUAAGAUGCACUAAGUGUUGGAUUAGUGUCUAAGCCCGUAACUAUAUUUGGUAUGUACCAAGGUUGUAAAAAAACGUUCGACGCUAGCUAGUCCGUGGACUGGGGUCAAGGGAUUAAUCGGCUAGGCGUAGAUUACUCGGGGACAAUUAAUUACUAAUUUGUUGAAUUUUAAAUAAUUGAAUAUGACUAAUAUCACAUCAAAGUUCGUAAAUACCAUUAAUAUGAUAACAAAAUAGGUUAAUAUGAUUAAUACAACACUAAUCAUGCCUCAAAUAGUUUCCAUUGAGAUAAAACUUCUUCAAAAUGUUAAAAUUUCAUCGUUUUAUAAUGUUUCACUCAUUAUGUAUGCAAUGAUUAAUUGCUAGGCGCCCUCUAAUCGGUCGAGUAGCGCCUAGGGAUUAAUCGGAGAUUGAUUGGGACCUAGUCGGGAUUUUUACAACAAUGGUAUGUACUUGACCCGGUUGUGCAUGGUCCUUUUAGGUUGCCUUCACCAAAGCAACUGGACAUGAUGAUUUAUAGAGAGAGAGAGAGAGGUUAUUAUGGUUUAUUAAUAUAUUAUAUGAAUAAUAUAUUAAAAGAGAAAUCAUAUAGUUUAAUUAAUAUUGGUCGAGAAUUAGUUAAGAAUUAUGUGGCUAAAAGAGAUUAAUUAAAUAAAGGGGAUUGGAAAUGUCAAUUAUAAGACAAUUGUUUUUGGGCUAUGAAUCCUUAUGGAUAUAAGGGGGGGGGGGUGAAAAUUAUAGUGUAAGCCCACUCUAAUCUCAUCCAAGGGGCCUUAUUCCAGAAGGUUCUUAAGCAACUUAGGGCCUAAGUCAUCCAAUUAGGGUUUUGACUGAAACCCUAGCAGCUCAGCUAUUUAAGGACACCUAGGGCACCCAAAAUCAGCUACCACUUAUUCCAAAGAAUCCUUGAGCUGAUUUUGUGCCUCCAUUCCCUUUUCUCUUAUAGAUCAUAUUCUUGCUUGUGGUUUUUGUAAGCCAUUAGAGGUGUUACACUUGUGACACUAAGCUUCUUGACGAUUGAAGAUUCUUGCAACUAUUGAAAGGUAUCAUCUAAACUUGUUUUGUUAUAGAUCUUGAUUUUCAAAGUAUGCUAGAUUAGGGUUUAUAAACUUUGGAUUAUUUUCAUGUACAAUAGAGAAACCUAGAUCCAAAUGCUUUACGGUUUUGCAUGUGCACAUAAGAUGUACUUUUGCUCAAAUCCCAUUAGUGGUAUCAGUGCUUUGAUUAGUUUCAGUUGUAUUUGACGCUCAUAUGUUCGUUCAUAGAUUGAAAAGAAAAUCGUUUUUUUAUAAAAACCCAACUCACGAUGUGACUCACUGAGUUCACGACCUGAGUCCAGUCUGUCUAACAGACUCGAAGGGUGCAGUAGGCUGCUCGGCGCGUCUAUGGGUUAGAUGGCUCAAAAAUCGGUUUUUUGACUUACUUUGUUUUUGGAUAAUUACCAUAAUUGUUUUGAAUAAUAAAAUACGAGUUAUAUAUAUAUUCCAAACCUCCUUCUAAAACGGGGUAAUUUAUACCGGUUGGAGUUUGUGUAACAUCGGUUUCCAUCAUUUGUGUUAAGGUUCUUUCGGAUGCGCCUUCUCCAUCCUCCAUUGCAAUUUGGUUUAUGAUGGUUGGAUUUUGUUGUAAGGGUGGCGUUUCAGGAAUUUCUUGGUGAGGGUCGGGACUAAAUCGGGUUCGGUUUUACUAGAGGAAGCGGUUUCAACCUCCGGAUCCCCGUUAGGAUUUGAAGUUUGACCAUGUUUUGUUCUCUUUCCUUCACUAAACGCCUUGCUUCUCUUUCAAUUUCCAGAUUAUAAUCAAAGCACCUAUACGAUGAGAUCUGGGCAUAGAGAAACAAAUUGAUUAAAAAUAAACCAAUCCCCGACAACGGCAACAAAAUUUGGUGGUUGUCGAGACCAAAAAAAAUUAAUAACCCUAAAUCUUUUACACUAAAAUAGUGUAUAGUGGUAAAGGGGUCGAAUCCGCAGAGAUUGGUUCAAUUUUAUAACUCUAUGAAAAUCUCUUUGUAAAAAUACUUGCAAAAUGACAAUGAAUAUAAAAAUGGGGGUUUUGGUCUUUCUAAAAUAAUUGAAAUAAAACUAGAGUUAAAGUAAGAUUUAAAUAGACAAUUCAACAAAAACACGGGUUUGAUGUAAAAUCAAUAAGAGAAAGAUGGUUGACUUAAGGUUUCCUCACUUGAGCAUUUGAUGAACAUAUCAUUAGAAUCUAAUGGUGCAAUACUUGUUUUAAAUCUUUAAUUUGACUAUAGUAAUCCACGAAGCUUGAGAUUACCUAGACUUUUCUUAAUUGCUAAAAUAGUUAGAAAAGCUCAUAACAAUUUGCUUAGUCAAAGUCAUAAUUUCCAUUAAGAAUGUAAUUAGUGAAAGUCAAUUAGCAUUAAAAACCAAAAAGUCACCGAAUCCAAGAGGAGUCAAAUGCUUUCACUACCAUGUUGGAGAAAUCUUUUUUAUGAUUGUAUAAAGUAAAACCAACACAAAAAUCAUAUGUUCCUUACUAAUUUGAGGAUCCUUUACUUAAUCGAGAAAUUAGCCAACUAAUCACCACAAGCACAUUUAAACUCAUGAAUAAAAACAUACAAAUAGUGAUAAGAUGCUAAAACACAAAACAUUCUCAUAAAGAUUCAAGAACAAGUUCAUGGAGUCUUCAACAUUCAACAAACAUUCAAAUGAUUUCACCAAAGUCAACCAAGUUUAUUUUAGCCAAGCAUAGCUAAACUCAAGAUAACAAAGUAAGAAAAGAUUGUACGAAACAUUUAACAAGAUUAAACAGCAAAAAGAUGAAGCUCUUGAGGUGUUCUUGCUCUUCAAAAUGCUCCAAAAUCUCCAGAGAAUCCUCUCAAAUUCGGAUGUGCAAGAGUGUGAAAAGAGUCCCACCAAACUUCCUCAAAUAGAAGUUAUAAGUAAAAUCACAAAUUUUCCCCUGCAGGAACCCACGUGGGUCGCGUGAACUGACUGGGAAUGAGCCUGCUUUAUUUGUUGGGCUUGCACUGCUUAGUCCACUAGCCCAGUUUGAGUCUGAUACGCUUCUAGCCCGUGUUUCUGUAAGUUUUCUUCAAUUUGAGCCCAAUUUGUCUUUUCCCAAUCCUCCAAAGCUCGUGUAAUCGCCUGAUCAUUAAUUCCCGUACGCUCGAAAAGUCCUUCCAUCUUCGUUUAACUAAGAUACCAUCUUCUAUAAUGCUCCAUCCAUCUAAAGCCCAUUUAUGUAUCACCUCCACUAGAUAUUAAGCCCAAAAAUCUUUAUUGUUCUCGAAGUCCAAUCGACUCCCGAAGAUCCCACUCCGCUAGUCUCCUUGAAAUCUGCAAUAAAGCUCACGAAACUAGAAAGUACCUGAAAUAGUCAUAAAAUAACAAAAAAUAAAAUACGCAUGAAGAUUAGUUAAGUUAUGAAUGAAAUAUACUAAAUUAAACUAUUAAAAGAAGUAAAUAAAAAGAAACUAUUAACCAUGACUCAUCAAAAACAUAUCAUAAACAUUAGAGUAUCAAAACAUAAUUUCUCUCAAAUCAUAAAACUAACGAAUGAUGUGUAAAGUCCUUUUUUGGUUGCCCAUAAAAUUAGAAAUAGCUAGAAAUGAUUCUAGGAGAAAGAGAAAAAUAUAUGUGAAUAUAUUAUGUGAUUAAUUUAUUAAUUAUAAAUAUAUAGUUUUUUUGUUAAUUUAUUAUGUGAUUCAUAAAUUAAUAUGAGAUCAAUAUUUAAAUAAGUGAUUUGCUGAUUUAUAUGUUUAAUAAAUUAAUAUAAAAUCAAUUUUGGGUGAAAAGUCCUUAAGGGAUUAAGUGCUUAAAGGAAAGGAUGGAACCAGAGCUCGUACGUUGGGCGUACUAAGCCAUCCUAUGUAUGUGGGGCGUAACUUAAGUACGUAGGGCAUACUCAACCAGCCUUGGACUCUGAAUUUUGUUGACUCUGUUGACCGUUGACUUUUGACCAAGUUUUACUUUAGGUCAAACUUGACGGUUUUGAUUGACGAUUAAGAUUUUAUAUGAUUAUGAUGUUACUAGAUCCGCGGGAGCAAGCAAUGUAGCAGGGAGCAUAUCACAAUGUUCUCGGGUUUCUUCAUUUCAGGAGAGUUUCGCCUCAUUGUACGAUGGGUCGAAGGCACUAAUGUCGGCUCACUAGUUUUGGUUAUUUGUUAGUAGAGGUAUGCCUUAGGGAUUGUAUAUAGUCAUGUAGGAUAGACUAAGGACUCUUGAUUUAGGCUCUUUUUCCUGUUCCUUGUUUGGUUGUGGUUCUAGAGUAGGAUCACCUAUCUGAGUGUCUAUCUCACCUCUAAGUAUACAUGGUUAUGUAUUCCUUGGAUUGUUGAUAUUUAGGAUGUUGCUAUGUUGUAGUGCUCUUUUAGAUAUGUAUCAUGGUAUUUAGGAUGUUGUUAUGUUGUAGUGGUCUGUUAGAUAUGUAUCCUAGUAUUUAGGAUGUUGCUAUGUUGUAGUGAUCUGUUAGAUCGGUUUCCUGUUAUAUAGGAUGUUGCUAUAAUGUAGUGAUCUGUUAGAUCGGUAUCCCUUUAUAUAUGAUGUUGUUAUGUUGUAGUGAUCUGUUAGAUCGGUAUCCUAUUAUAUAGGAUGUAGCUAUGCUAUAGUGCACUGUUGGAUCUGUAUGCUUAUAUGUACUUGCUGGUUAUUAUCCAGUGGAGUGCCCUAGGGACUGUAUAUGGUCAUGUAAGAUACCCUGAGAACUCUUGAUCUAGGCUUUAUUGCAUUUUCCUUGUUUGGUUGUGGCUCUAGAGUAUGAUCAUCUGUUUGGGUGGCUAUCUCACCUCUGAUUAUUUAUGGUUACGCAUUUCAUGGAGGAUAGCUGGUAGCAGGACAAUGUGCGCCGUGAGGACUGGUAGGCUGUAGUGACUUGUAUGAUUGUUGUUUGUCUGUAUUAUGUGCCUACUUGAUCCUAAUUGUUUAUAUGUCAACAUAUGGUAGUAGUGGGUUGAGACGAUCCUGCUUUGUGUUGUAGGCCAAAAUACCUAGUGCGGGCUGCUGUAAGCCGUAGGCACGGAGGGUCUGGAAGCGUAGUUGGGUUAAGGCGGUAGGCCAACAAACCAAUGGAAUUCGAGUGUGAUGGCUGAGUGGACCUGAUGUAUGCUUGUAUGUUUAUCCUAUAGGGUAUUUUGGAGGAAACUCACUAAGCUUUGUGUUACUUAGUUGUUUAUUGUUUCAGGUAUCAUCGGUCAUCAUGGGAAAGCAAAUGUGUGACUGUACAUGUUCAUCAACAACAAUGAAGAUUCCGCGCUCUAAUAUUAUUCUGAUUUUUAUAAAUGUAUUUGGAGUAAACGGUUUUCUCCAUAAUGAAUUUAUAACUGGGAAGACUUACUAAUUUUUUUUUGGAAACAACAAGUAGAUUCAUUAAAAAAUGCUACAUGAUUAGAAAGUAGCUAAAACAUGAGCAAAUACAAGUAGUUAAUGAAAGAUACAACAAUUUAAUAAAAUGGAGAUGUACUCCAAUCUAUCCACCUUAAUUUUACAUUAGAAGUUCUAUAUUUCAACCAUACAUACGUUUGGGAAAUCACUUCAUCUGCUAUCUUUGUUGGGUUUGUGUGUAUCUGUCUAAAGAUUCUAUUGUUUCUUGCCUCCCAUGUGCACCAUAAGUCCGUAGACUAUCACAUUAAUCCUUUCUUUUUGUCUUGGACAAUUACCCUAGUUUGCUGCGAAAUUGAUCAAAUCUAUCACAUUAUCGAACGGUAUAGCAACAAUUGUGCACCAUUUGAAAAUCCACUCUCGAGCCUCCGUAGCAACUUCACAAUUGAUCAGUAGGUGAUCGCUUGUUUCUUUUUCUUUAUUGAAAAGUGGUCACGUAUUUGAUUGGGUCUUGAUUCUUUUUGAUUCCAGGUUUGUUGCAACCAGAAUUCUAUUUAACAAUGCCCUCCAUAUAAAGCAUCUUAUCUUCAAUGGGAGAGCCUUGGACCAAUUGAUGCAUUUUCUAUUGUGAGAUGUAUAGACCCUAGAGUCAAUCAAUUUCCUUAGAAUGUUCAACGUAUAAUUACCGUCUUUUCUUCAUUUAAAUCGAAAAGCAUCAGGGGACAAAUUAACAUUACAAAGCAUCGAGCAUAAGCUUUCGAAAACACUUGCAACCUCAGUAUCCAUUUGUGGUGUUUUUCAAUUCCAUUUAAAGCCAUUGGUGCUAAUCCUAUCAGCGAUUGAACAUAGCUUAACUUUCUCCAAUGCAUAAAGACGGGGAAAACAUUCUUGGAGCGUAAGCGAUCCACACCACCUAUCCUUCCAAAAUAAGAAUUUUGUGUUCGAACCUGGGAUUAUGAUGAACAUGUCAUGAUAAUUAACAUCGAAUUCAGGUAGGGAUUUGAUAGCUUUUUCUAUAUUGCACCAAGUUCCAUUUGUUGUUUUCUUUGCCAUGCAAGUGACAUGUUUUUUGUUCAAGUUAUGUAUGCAGUUAAUGCAAUCCUUCCAUAAAUUGUCAGCCCUGUUUUAAGUUUCCACCACCAUUUUUUAGUGGUGCUAGAUUUUGUGCUUUUAAUGUCCCAACUCCUAGGCCUCCGUUAGUUUUGUCUGCUACAACUUUUGACCAUGACAUCCAAUGUAUUUUAGAUUUGGUAUCAACACCCCCCCAUAAGAACCUUCUACGUAGUUUCUCUAAUUCUGCAAUGAUCCCCUCUGGUGAUUUAAAAAGUGAGAAAUAGUAGGUGGGGAGGCUACUAAGAACGGGCUUGAUUAAAGUAAGCCGACCAUGAAAUGACAGUGUUUUCGCUUUCCAAACCGAUAGUCAUGAUUGGAAUUUGUCAAUUAUCGGUCUCCAAUACUUUUUGAAUGCUAUGUUCGCUCCUACGGGAACUCCAAGAUAAGUAAAUGGGAACGAGCCUUUGAGACAACCAAGCACUUGUGCUUGAUGUUGAAGAUCUACUUUUGGAAUGUCAAUGAAAAUUUUUGGUUGUGAAAAUGGGACGUUUGAGUGCCAUCUUACCAUCCAAAGGUACCAGUACACUUUCUUCCUCUCUAUGUUUGUUUAUUUUUGAUCCAUUGUCUAUAUUUUUACACAUAUGGGACUAAGAUUUUAUAAUUAAAUCGUACAGAUUAAGAAGUAUUUUAGUACCUCAAGAUUUGUCUAGCAUGCCAAGGAUAUUAAGAACACUAUAUUUUAAAUGAACAAAUUCAGGUAUUAUAUGCAAUUUUUAAUAUUUCUUUCUGAUGACAAUUGAUAUAUUUUUGAUGUUACUAAAAAAUGAAUAUUGCAAGGGGAAUUGGCCCUUAUAAGUUAUAACUCCAAUUUUUAAUUUUUAAAUUUCUCUAGUGUAAGUAUUUUUAACGAGAGAAUGAAAGCUACAAACAUUAAGUAAAAGUCUAAUGCCCUAAUAAGAAAAAACAAAUAUAAGUUAAAUACUGUUAUAUGCAAUUUCAAGUAUCUUUUUUUUCCAUUACAGUAAGAUUUUUUUGUUAUAGUCUAUUACGCACAUGCAUUCUUUGUUUUUCCAAUAAUUCCAGCUUGGAGCGGAUAAAUGCAUCAUAUAACUGCAUAUCUCUAAUAAUUGAAGGUAAUCAAGGUUCACCAGAAUCAGAUCGAUCAAACUGCCAAUUAUCCAAGGUAGAAGAUGUAUGUGCAUAUUUUCACUCCUUAACUGGUUUCUUCCUAUUAGUCAUGAUCUUACACGUGUAUGUUUCAAUUCGUCAUCUUUGUUGAUAGUUACUUUGAUAGAAUUCAUAGUUAUAUAUAGCAAGUAACAGAAUUUUAUUUGUUUUCAAGCAUAAAGUACAUGUAUAGAAUUACAAUAAUUUUUAUUACUACAUUCACCUAAUUAUAAACACGGAAAUUUUAUUAUACAAAAAAACAGAGGUAAGAAAUUUAAUAUUUUUAUUUAUAGUUGGAUUGUUUCGACUAAAUAAUAAUAUAAAAACUUUCAAAAAAAGUAAAAUGUGUUAAUUAUAUUGAAAUUCGUUAUAAAUUUUUUACUAUUUAUCAUUUUUAAAAUACCUUCGUUUUCAAAAUAAUAUUCUUUAAUCGAUGUUUUAUAAUCAAACAUACGAAUUCAAUAAAUAUUAAAAGAAAAACAAGAAUAAUAAUAAUUUUUUUACUAACUUAAUCCAAAUUAUUUGAUUUCUAUUUUUAAAAAAUACAUGUUUUGAUUUGCCACUAUUUUGGCGACUUAUUACCGAAGAGAAAAAGGUUUCUCAGUUGACUUACAUUUCAUUAAAGCUUGAUACACUCUUUAAAGUUAAAAUAUUCAUACAGAUUGUCUUUUUUAUUAUGUUUCAAACACUCAAUUAAAAAAAAAUACUUAUUUAUCAUACACAACAUGAAUACAUUAAAAAAUACAUUGUGCUUUACAAAGAAAAUGAAUAGUUAAAUUGAAACUAAUGUUAAGUCGUCACAUUGUUUCUUAUUUUUAAUUUAUCAUAUUACUAAAGCAAAAUAGUUGUUGAAUUGAAACUUAUCAUUGUUUGCCGAAAGAAACAAAUUAUCGAAACAAAUUAUUUACAUCCGUCGCUUAACGCGGGUAAACGACUAGUGUGUGUGUGUGUAUAUAUAUAUAUAUAUAUAUAUAUAUAUAUAUAUAUAUAUUCAAAUGAGAACANNNNNNNNNNNNNNNNNNNNNNNNNNNNNNNNNNNNNNNNNNNNNNNNNNNNNNNNNNNNNNNNNNNNNNNNNNNNNNNNNNNNNNNNNNNNNNNNNNNNNNNNNNNNNNNNNNNNNNNNNNNNNNNNNNNNNNNNNNNNNNNNNNNNNNNNNNNNNNNNNNNNNNNNNNNNNNNNNNNNNNNNNNNNNNNNNNNNNNNNNNNNNNNNNNNNNNNNNNNNNNNNNNNNNNNNNNNCUCCUGUAGAAAGGCUCGCGCCCACUAAGGAAGCCUUCCGCUCCAAGACAAAUGAUACGAUAAAGCGACAAAGCAGACGACCAUAACACUAUUGCCAGAACCAAUAGCAGCGCUCUGCAGAUAGAGGAGCACGAUCCUCCAAUUAGCACCCCUGAUCCUAUCGCCUCUGGUGAUCCUGUCUCGUAUGGAUGAUCAGGAGCACAUAAUAUAAAAGGCUACACCCACAACCCCGACAAGUAAGUGGCCUUCUCCAAGUAAUACCCUAAAAACCCUAGAACACUCAAUUGACUUGACCGUCGAAGCGUCUUUCCGGGAGCUCCUCCCGAGAAACGGCUAACGGCCUUCUUUCCAUUGUGACUUUGUAAGAACGACGAUACCAUCGAUGGCGGAGUUCGUCGAAGCCUGAGCUCAAAGUCACAUCAUUUGGCGCCAUCCAUUGUGUGACAAAAGACACAACCGAAAGACACAACCAAAAGCACAUUGUUCACAAGAAAGAGAUGGCAUCUGGCGACAGUGGAGGUUCCAGCGGGACACCAGCUAGUCCCAUUCGGCCAAUGGCGACGUUAGAAGAUACGUCACCACCCAUAGUGGUCUCCAGAGAGGUACCAGAUGAGGGUGGUUCGGUGGUGACGGUGAACCACCAGAAAGACAACAACAAAUGGCCGUCGAGGAACACCUUUCCUCCACUGCUGUCCUAACUACAAUCACUAAGGUACAGACGUCCCAACCACCGCCUGUGUCGUAAAUAGCAAACACACAUGGCGCAACACCGAUUCCACUCCAACAUCCGAUACCAAUACAAAUGACAAUGCCGACACCCACAGUUUUUCAAACACCACCUCUGGGCAAAUUGACAAUGGUGCAACGGUAGCUUCCCAAAUACCACCACUGUUUAAUCCAAUGGUGAGAGAGCAAAAAGCGAUCCUUCAAGCGAUGCCACCACUAACUCAAACGACCGGAACGCAAUCAGUAUUCCACCCAUCGCCGAUAAUCCAAACACCGCUGGAAGCACAAGCGACUCCCUCAAUGUCACCGCUAGCCCAAGCAAUGCCAACCCAAACACCGGUUUUCUUGACAUCGUCGUUUCCAACGAACACGCCACUCCUUCCUGUAAAUUCCUACUACCAACAAGUUGUGUCGAAUAACCUACACACUCAAAACCUACCCAUGUCAUCCAACCACCCGUUAACACUACCAUUUUCACAACAAACAUUCUACGAUCCAAGCCCACCCAAUUAUACGCCUUACAAAAAACUCGAUCAUGUAACUGCAUGUAGCUGCACAACAGUACAAUUUGCAAGGCAUGUUGCCUAUACCCAACCAAGACUGCCUAUCAUGUAGCAUGACAUCUCUAUUUUCCAAGGAACUGCUAGACUACGAAAUUCCAAACACAACUAAACUCCCCAACCUUAAAACCUAUAAUGGAACCAUAGACCCGAACAACCAUAUCGACACAUACGAAUGGACGAUGACGUCAUUCAAGCUGGACGAACGAUUCUGGUGCACAUACUUUUCGACGACCCUGGAUGGCAACACCAAAACAUGGUUCAAAACACUCCGCCCAGGAAGCAUAUACAACUUCGGACAUCUAAAAUACCUAUUCCUUACAAACUACAUGCAAUUACGGAAGUAUAAAGGCGACUCACACUCCAUCAUCGACUGCAAACAAAAGGAAGGGGAAACGGUAAGGGAAUAUUUCAUGAGAUUCACAAAUGCCACACUGGAUGUUCCAGGGCACGACAAGGGACUAAUAGCAUGAGCCUUCACGUGGGGACUCCUACCGGGCCCUCUAUCUUAAAAGCUCAUGGGCAAGAAACCGUAGACACGGGCCGAACUGAAAGAAAAAGUAGAACGAUAUUUGAGACAAGAAGAAGGGGAAGCAACGAAACAGGCGUACCUAAACGCCAUGACUACCCCCGUGAAGCGGCACAACCCGCCUCACGUAGAGACACAAAGCGGGAACAUGCAUUUUCAGCGAGGAAAACGCUUGCAGGGGCGUUUCAGGCCAUUCGCUAGAGAUGACAGGCAAGGCCGAAGGCCAGACGUUUUUUGUCGUUGCAGACAAGCAGUAGCCAGCGAAAGAAGCGAAGGGGCGAUUAUGCGAAUACCAUAAGAGCAAAACACAUGACACUACCAACUGUUCAGUGUUGAAGAAGGAAAUGGAGGGAAAAUAGCUAAAAGGAAGCCUCAUCGAGAUAGCACAAAGUCUCCACGCCAAAUUUGACGCCGGAAACUCCAAGGAUGCAACAAAAGAGCAUGCUCAGCCCAGGGAAAUCCUCAUGAUACGAGCUAAAAGUGAGAGGCAGGAUGAGCAGGACGACCUGAAAAGGCUCACCACAACAAUGCAAGGGCUCACAUUUUCAAUGAAAGAUCCUCAACCCAAAGGCUGGAAGGGAGACAACCUACUUAUAAUCCAAGGCUCCAUUAGAAACGUGACAAUCCAUAGGGUGUACAUCGACACAGGUAGGUCGAUGGACAUCAUCUAAGAGCAUUUUUUUCGGCUCCUCCUGGACAGAUGGAAGGAAAACCUCAAGCCCACUACAGGAAGGCUCGUAGGUUUCACAGGGCAUAGCUUGUGGCCCAUAGGCACAAUUCACCUGCCAAUAACGCUGACAAGCCAUGACAAGCAACGAAGGAAGACGACCCUAAUCGACUUCUUCAUAAUACGACAUCCGACAAAGCACAACAUCAUUCUGGGAAGGACAUCUCUACUCAAGCUAGGAGCAGUCCCGUCAACAAUGCAUGGUAUUGUAAAAUUCAGCACCACCGAAGGGCCAGGCACAGUCCUCGUAACCCUGCCAAGGGAGCUACAAUGUUUCAAGGUCAUGCGACUAGCAGAAAUAGCGCAAGAAAGUAAGAAGGCACAGGUCAAACUAGCAAACGGGAAAGAGGUCAUCCACGAAGAAUACCUAGAUCAUCCAGUCAACGUCGGCAGUAAUCUCCGUGAACCAACUAGACGCGCAUUGAUCGACCUUUUGAAACAAUACGAACAUGUUUUCGCAUGGACCCCCACCGACAUGGUAGGGGUAGACCGGGAAGUUAUAGAGCACAUGUUAAUAAUCAAGAAAGGCGCGAAGGAAGUUAAGUAGAAGAAGAGGGUUCAAGGAGGAGACCAUAAUAGAGCAAUCAAUGCUGAGGUAGCCAAACUGACAAAGGCAGGGAUCCUAAGGGAAGAGAUCUUCCCAACCUGGAUUGCAAACCCCGUCAUGGUAAGGAAACAUGAUGGCUCAUGGCACAUGUGUGUCGAAUACUCUGACUUGAAUAAAGCAUGCCCAAAGAUUGUUACCCCCUACCAGAGAUCAAUCAGAAGGUAGAGUCGCUGCAAGGGUUCAAGUUAAAAUGCUUUCUAGAUGCGUAUAAGGGGUAUCAUCAGAUCCUGAUGAGCAAAGAAGAUAAAUAGAAAACAACUUUUUAUACGGACCACGGAGCUUUGUGCUACACCAAGAUGCCAUUUGGGCUGAAACACACAGGCACAACAUACCAGUGAUUAGUCAACCCCAUAUUCGCUAAACAAAUCGGAAGAAAUAUCGAGGUAUAUGUCGAUGACAUGGUCAUCAAAAUCCCAAACGAAGGUAAGUUACUAGAAGACAUGAAGGAAACCUUCAAGACACUAGAGAAGGUCAGGAUGAAACUAAACCCCGAAAAGUGCACACCGGAGUGGAAGAAGGGCAAUUCCUGGGAUACUAUGUGACCAUGCAAGGAAUACAACCUAGCCUAAUUUGAUGGGUUUUAGCAAUAAGAACAUCCUAUGUGCUCAUACAAACCCUAAUGCUUGGAUCUAGGUUUCUCUAUUGUACAUGCAAGUUAUCCAAGACUAUAAAACCUAGAUCUAGAAUAUGAUAAUCAAUAUAACAUAUAAUUAGGGUUUAGAUCAUACCUUGAUUGUUAUAUAUCAAUAACAAUCCCAAUUCCUUCUUGUAUUGACUUUAGAAAGCUUAGAGUCACAAAUAUCAUUCCUCUAAUGGUUCACAAACACCAAGAGCAAGAGGAUGAGGAGGAGAGAGGAUGGAGGCUGCCCUAAAACGUGUGAAACCCUAGAAGGAUGCUUAGCCACGUUUUUGGGUCAUAAGGGUCAUAUAUAUAUAUAUAUAGGAGGCUAUUAGGGUUAUCUAACAAGCAAACCCUAAAUUGGAUGCUUAAGCCCUAAGCAAUCAAUAGAUUCCUUUCCUUAAGGCCUUGGACAAUUUCUUCUUGUGUUUCCCCCAUAGAAUUCGUCCACUCCUUAAUAUAAGGCAAUCUAUAGCCCAAAUUGAAAUUAUCUUAUAAUUACAAUUGCAGUCCCUUAAGUUUAAUUAAUCUCUUUAAGUCACAAAACUAAUUACCAAUUAAUUAUUGACUAAUAUUAAUUAAACAAUAUGAUUUCUUCUUUAAUAUAUAAUUCUCAUAAUAUAUUAAUAAAUCAUAUUUAAUCCUUUCUCUCCAUAAUUCAUCCUAUCAAGUUGCUUUGGUGAAGGCAACCCAAAAGGACCAUGCACCAUCGGGUCAAGUACAUACCAAAAUAGUUAUGGACUUAGACACUAAUCCAACAGUUUCCCACUUGGAUAAGUCUAAUAACUAUUCUGCGUAUGACUUCAGAUCCUGAUCUGCAAUCGUAGCUUUCCAAAGCCGCUGUCAACUCUGAUCCUAUCAGAUACGCGUGUCCUUAGAUAAGGGAUCAUAUAUUCCUCCAUUCUAGAUAUCAUAUGAGAUAUGAUUUCAAAUCAUUCUCUUUGUACUAUAUCUCGAUUCCCGAUUUAUGACGACUGACUAAUUGAACAAAUCAAAUUAGCCCUAGCCCGGCCGAGCAUUUACGUUUGUCAUCACUAAAUCAUCGAGGGGCCCAAAGAUAUCGCUUUUAUCCUACUUUGGAUAAAAGGAACGGAUAAACUUUGAUACAAUGCUUGCUUGCACUCACUCACCGAAUCACACACAACAAUAUGUUUUAUAACACCAAGUUACUAGUGCGUUUACAUAUUAUCAAUGUGCAACCGAUUCGCAAGAUACAACUCACACAUCUCGGUUUCAAGAAUAUAAGAUGUUAUCGUCUCACCAAUCACUCGUGAUACAAUUCAUGGAGUGAUCCAAGUGAGCGUGGGUUUAAUCCAAUGCUCAAAUCAUAUUCAUAAGCACUCAUGAACGUUGCAGCAAACAUUUGCUUAUGUCUAAUACUCUUUAGACAAUCCACACACCAAUUCACGACAGUCUUCAUUCAUACCUACUUCCAACAUAUGAACGACUGUGGCCCGUUCGAAUAAUUUGACUGUUCUUAACCAAUUAAAUUAUUCAGGAAGUCAAAACAUGCAAAGUGAAACACAAGAAUAAUACUAAUCCCAUAUGGCCUCAAACCUUUGAGUAUAAAUAAAACACCUUUUAUUUAUCACCAUAUCGAUUACUCAUUAUUUGUCGUUUCGGGUAAUCAACUUCUUACUUGAAUUAUUACACUUGUCCCAUGCUCCUAGCAUGCACACAAUGUUUACCUAUGGUUCUUACUUUGUGAAAUAGAUCAAAUUGAACACAUUUCCAAUCAUUCUCAUUUCACAACUCCAAAUCCUUUUUCAUAAGUGAAAGAAUAUCAAAUUCUUGCUACUUAUAGAAUAUGCUAGAUUCUAACAUUUUAUGCAAUGAUCUCUUCGUAAUGUCACUGCACCAAAGUCACAAAGACUAUUGCCAAUGAUAUUACAAAGUCCUCUAUCGGAGAUUGUUACAAGACAAUUCCUUAGAUAUGAUGUCUCUCACUCAAAGUACAUUCCUUUGAACAUCCUUUUGCAUAAAAGUUUCUAAUCUAGACAUAGAUUUUCAAUAUUCAAUUCCCAAUAUGGACACAUUUCCAUAUUUUCCAUAUGACAACUCAUUCUUAAUAGAAUCUUAUCUAUUCAUAAUAAUGUCGAUGUGGUCCAUCCAAUAUGGAAACAUUUCCAUAUUUUCCAAUACUAUACUUCCAACUACUCACAAGCGACCAAUCCUCGGCGAACUUUGGAUUGUCCUUUGAUAGUUGUUUAUUUUAGUCAAAACCGAUUCUUGUCCUUUUUCCUCUAAAUGCGCUAGACAUUUUUGGAAAAUUUUUAGAAUGGUCAAAUAUUAUAGCAUGUGCAAUCGAUCCUAUACACGGUGCGUAUGGGGCACGAUGCAUAAUGUCUUACAUAAAGAUUUGAUACUUUAUCAAUCUUCUGCCAUAAUAUUUUAUGUGCUACGUUCUCAAAAUUCGAACUAUGAAGAGGAAUGUCGUAAUCAUAAUCGAAAUUUGAGAACACACUAUGUAUCCUUGACUAAAUUUAUUAACAUUCCACAACCUAAGCCUUUAGAUUUGAAAUGAAGCAUAAUAUUCUCUCCCUUAAUUAUAGCAAAACAACUUUUCAACCCUUACGACUUUGCAAGGUAUAACUCUUGUUUUCUAUAAUUAAUAUUGCCAACUUGCAAUACGUGCCUUAAUAAUCAUACAAUCAUAACAUUUAUGCUCCCACUAUCAUGAUGAUUAUUAUAAAAAUUAACACUUAUGCUCCCACUAGCUUCGACAUGUAUUCAUAAACAUCUUAACUUUCAGAAAAACAAUGCUUAUUGAAUUUCUUAAGUUCAUGUUUCUAAUACUUAGUGCUUUGAUAAUCUUUUAUCAAGGCUUCUUAAACUUAUACACCUUUGCCUUAGAUAGUUCAUAUGUGUGUCUAAACAAUUAAGACUAAUUGCCAAACCUCACAAUUCAAAUCAUGGAAAGGGAUACCGUAACCAUAAUCGAAUUCGAGAAUGCAAUUUUACAAUCACUAUCUUCUUAAAAUCUUUCUUAGUGAAAGCAUUUCCUCACAAUCAUUUUCAUGAAGGAGGAAAUCUUAUGACACUUAGAUUUAAACGGUGUAUGUGUUCCUAUCCAUGUGAAUUUGUUAAAACCAAAGUUUACGACAAAUUCAAACUCAUAUGGACCGAACUUUCUUAAUCUUGAUUUCUUGCCUUAUGGUAGCACAGCUGCCCACCAUGUCUUCCAAGUAGUUAAGCAGCUCACCCUUUCCUAUCAAUGUACCUUUCAUUGAUUAAGGUGCUUUGCCUUUUAUGCGUUCAAAAUGAGAACUCAUAGAACUCACAUGCAUAAUUAACUCGAUUGGAUUGGCACAGAAACAAAAUAAUGUCAACACGAUAGGUUGUAAACCUCAACUCGUGUGCUAGUGAUGAUCGAUAAGGUUUAUUUGAUUUGUUCUUGAAACCUUUCAAGACCAUUAAGACUCCCACUGACUCCUUGACAUAUAAGAUUCUCUUGUCAAUAACCAUUUCUUGACAAACAAAUAUUCAAGAGUUAGUGUAGCUUUUAUCAAAACACUUCAUAAAUUGGUCCUAGUUGGUCUUUGUCUUAUCCAAGACAUCACAACUUUCCACAUUUGAUGAAUGUUAUAAACCUUCUUAAUACUUUUCACUCAAUGUCACAAUCUUAACUUUAAGACUUGUUAUUGGAACGAAGUAUGAUUGACUUCUUGAUUUAACCAUUUCUUCAAUUCUUGAUUCCUCUUCUUAGACAUACAAUUGUACUAAGACUCACUUAGAGGAUCAAUUGAGAUAUGGUUCUUAAUCAUUAAGACCUAUCAUAAAGCAUAAAAGGUACUCUCCCUUCUUCUUAGAAUGGAGAAACUUUUAUCUUUCUGCCUACUUGAUUCUUCUUAUUCGUUCUGCUAUUGAUUUAAACCUUUUCAAUCAAUUCAGAAUUACACUUAAUCUUAUAAGUAUAAUCAUAUUUACUAAACCUUUAGUAAAUCAUGACGAAUAUCUUUGUUACUCUUAUGGUGGACUUGAUCAACACGCAACUUUGUGUACUCGAUCUCCUAGUCCUUCACUUGACACUUUGUCAAUGAAUUAGUCUAAUUUCCAAAUAUGAAAUUUCUCAUUCAUCGUGCAACCAAGUUGCAUGAUUCCAAGUUUCUGUCCAAUUGAAACUUGGGCGAUGAGAAACUCUCCCUAUUUGGUAAAUUCUCGACUUUCCAUAAAUAACAUAAUAAGAACCAAAUCCAUUAUUGCUAAUAAUAGAAACAUUCAAACAUCAAUUUUUCAUAUACGCCAUUGCAAGGAUAAAUAAAUAAUAUAAAAUCAAAAUUUAUUUUAUUGCGGAAAAAUUUUGUCCUUACAAUGCAAUUCAUUGAAAAACUAUGCUAAUACAUCUUUCUUAGCAAUCUAAUUCUAACUCUAAGUAGUAGCUCAAGAAUCUAAUCUUCGAGAAAUGCGAUCGAAAUCCAUUCCUUCACGGUUAGAUUCUGCUCACUUCUUCCCUUAAGCUUCCUUUCUUUUCUUCGAUCCUACAAAACAUCAAUUGUAAUCUUAUCACAUUAUGUAUUAAGAAUCUAGAAUAGAAGCUUAAAAGAGUUAGUUAAUGGAUUUUACCUAUAUUAGAGCCAUACGUUUCGACUCUCCCAUCUCUUAGAUCUCUUAGGUAAAUGGGGCAGCUUCGUCUCCAAUGCCCUUUCUCUUGGCAAUAAAAGCAAAUUGACUCUUUUGGAACAUGACAUGGAACUACUUCAGACAUUGCCUUUCUCUUAUGAUCAAACUUUUCGAUCAUAGCAUGUCUUUCGUUGCCAUUGUCUAUAUCCAUAGAGGUCUUGAAGGCAGAUUCACCAAUCAACUUUGCUUUUCUAUUGCGCCAAACCAUUGCUGAUUCAGCAGCAAUAAGCAUAUAGGUGAGAUCUAUAAGGGUCACGUCGCGGUUCAUCAUAUAGUACUCUCUUACGAACUCACUAUAUGAGUUAGGAAGUGACUGAAGAACCCAAUCAACAGCCAUUUCCUCACAGACAACGGAUCCCAACAUUCUUAACCUAUCAAUGUGUGACUUCAUCCCUAGGACGUGUGCACACACCGACUUUCCUUCUUUAUGUUUACUUGCCAAAAGGGCUUGAGUGAUCUUGAACUUUUCAAGCCUUUGAACUUGUGGGUUAGGGAGAAUAAUUGGAGGAGGUGGAGGAAGUGAAGCAUGAUUUCUUGUUCCUCGAUCGAAUCGUGGAAUAUCAUCUUCAUGUGGAAUGCUUGUUCCACGGGAUUUGGGAAGACCAUAGUUGUCGAACUUUGACAUCUACAAAACGGGAGAAAAAGAAUUCAAGUUAGUUGAUUGAUUGAGUCCUUAGUAAAUCACCCAAAUGAGAUACUAAGGCUAGGACCCAACACAAUAUUCUACAACUCGGGAGAGGGAUGCCGUAACCCUAAUUGCAGAACAUUUGAAGGUAAGUGAAUGACGAUUCACUAAUUUCCACCAUGAAAAACGAAAAAGAAAUUUAAGUUUUAAAUCUAUGAAAACUCCUAGAUCCUUUGAGAUUCAUUGAACAUUUCAAUGGCAUGUUUAAAUCUCGAUAUGCCCCUCUUGUUUGUGACUGGGAUGCCGAGGAUCACAAAGCGGGUGUGAAUAACCAUGCAAACUUACAUGGUGCCCUCACAUGUUACAGUCACCUAUUCGAUGUGCCGGUAAACCACACACGCUCCACCGAACUAUGACAAACAUUGAGUCACCCUUUGCUACCUUUGCUUAGAACCAUUUAGUGUGCCGGUAAACCACACACGCUCCACUAACGUCUUCGCAAGGGCACAAAGUGUAAUUUCAUGGAAAUGCAUCAAUUCACUUUGCCUAAGUAACUAAGAUUGUGAAUUUGAAAAACAUUUUGUUACUUUUUGUACUUCAUUAUACUUAUAAUGGAAGGUUUUGUCCUAUCCUACCCGUUCGGCUAACGACCCUCCACUAGUCAAGAGUGCGGUGGGUAAGAGUGGAUACCCAUUCAAUCGCCAUUUUAUAGGCAAUUUCCUUAAACACCCCUUAUAGACCAGCUUCGUGAAUGAGGCCUACUAACGGUAAGACUGACUUUUACUCAUACAUAUAUAUAAUGUUAGACUUUUAAUGUUAUAUAUAGUAUAGGGUGUAUUUUAUACUUUCAAAAUACUAGGUGGUCUAAUUUAACAAUUAUACUUUUAAUUCAAUUAAAUUGUAAACCUAAACUUUUAUGGAUUUAUUAAACCUCUUUUAAUUAUACACCUUAAUUAAUUAAUAAAACCAUAAGGGUGUGAUUUGAACUUUUUCAAAACAAUACUAGGGUUUUAGAAUUUAACAUUCCUAAUUAAACUUUUAAUCAACUUUUAAAUUCCAAAACUUGAGGGCAAGUUUUGAAACAUUUCAAAACAUUAGGGUUUAGAAUUUAAAUAUACAUCAAAUUAAACUAUUAAUCCAAAAUUUUAAAUUCCAAAACUUGAGGGCAAGUUUUGAAACCUUUUUCAAAACAUUAGGGUUUUAACUAUUUAAAUUUCAAAACAACAAAACUUUUGGGUUCAAAUUUAAACUAUAAAACCUAAAGGGGAAAAUAUGAAACAUUUCAUAACACAAGGAUCAAAUAACAAAUAAUCUAAAUUAACAUUUAAUCACAUAAUUAUCCAUAUUUGAUUUAUUUAAUGAUUUCUUGCAAAACAAUUUACCAAUUUAAUCAAAAU